UUACGGCCACAUCACGCUGAAACACCGGUUCACGUACGAUCACCGAUAUUAAGCAACGUCGAGUAUUUUCAGUUCCUGAAUGGGCGACCACUUGGGAAUACCAGGUGCUGUAAG